CAGAGACACGGUUUUACUUCAUAAAAGAACGUGGAUCCAAAUAUGAGAGUCAAGCUCACUGGUGGGACCCUAGGACAUGGCCUCAGUCCUAUGUAUCUGAGAGACAGGAUGGACCACUGAAAGUCUGUUAGAUUGGGGACAGUUUCUUGAGCUUACAGUGCCAGGUUUGGUGAUGACAUGUAUUGACUGGUGGAGUUUUGAAGCUGGCUCCUUUUUAACAGGUAUAGUUAAACCCUAGCUUCACUAGGACAUUUGGUUGGCUGAGGGAAUAGUUGAAGUGCAUUUGGUAUUUUAUUUAAAAAUUAUAUUUAUAUUUUUAUUAGUAAUAAAAAUAAAUCCGGGGGAGCUGCUCAAAUUCACACUUUCCCCUCAAAAUGAAGUGUGCCUUGUUUUGUUGCCAUGUACAUUUGGUUCCACCGAUGUAAGCAGCCAGGUCUUAUUGUACCUUAUAUGCACUGCACAUGUGU
rnacentral:lncRNA from 1 species